rnacentral:rRNA from 1 species
UACGUAGGGCGCAAGCGUUGUCCGGAAUUAUUGGGCGUAAAGAGCUCGUAGGCGGUCUGUUACGUCUGCUGUGAAAACCCAGGGCUUAACCCUGGGCUUGCAGUGGAUACGGGCAGACUAGAGGCAGGUAGGGGAGAAUGGAAUUCCCGGUGUAGCGGUGAAAUGCGCAGAUAUCGUAAGGAAGACCAGUGGCGAAGGCGGGUCUCUGGACAGUUCCUGACGCUGAGGCACGAAGGUCAGGGGAGCAAACGGG